GGCUUGAAGCCAAUGAACUGCCCAGGGCACUGUGUAAUGUUUCAGCAUAGGAACCGUUCUUAUAGAGAACUACCUCUACGAAUGGCUGAUUUUGGGGUGUUACAUCGGAAUGAGGCCAGUGGUGCACUCACUGGAUUAACACGUGUCAGGAGAUUCCAGCAGGAUGACGCUCAUAUCUUCUGCAGGGAGUCCCAAGUAAAAGAUGAAGUGAUGGGUGUCUUAGAGUUUAUCGAGUAUACC